rnacentral:rRNA from 1 species
GAUGAACGCUGGCGGCGUGCCUAAUACAUGCAAGUCGAGCGAACAGGCGAGGAGCUUGCUCCCCUGACGUUAGCGGCGGACGGGUGAGUAACACGUGGAUAACCUACCUAUAAGACUGGGAUAACUUCGGGAAACCGGAGCUAAUACCGGAUAAUAUAUUGAACCGCAUGGUUCAAUAGUGAAAGACGGUUUUGCUGUCACUUAUAGAUGGAUCCGCGCCGCAUUAGCUAGUUGGUAAGGUAACGGCUUACCAAGGCAACGAUGCGUAGCCGACCUGAGAGGGUGAUCGGCCACACUGGAACUGAGACACGGUCCAGACUCCUACGGGAGGCAGCAGUAGGGAAUCUUCCGCAAUGGGCGAAAGCCUGACGGAGCAACGCCGCGUGAGUGAUGAAGGUCUUCGGAUCGUAAAACUCUGUUAUUUGGGAAGAACAAAUGUGUAAGUAACUAUGCACGUCUUGACGGUACCUAAUCAGAAAGCCACGGCUAACUACGUG